rnacentral:misc_RNA from 1 species
GAAAUGCGAUACGUAAUGUGAAUUGCAAAUUCAGUGAAUCAUCGAGUCUUUGAACGCACAUUGCGCCCCCUGGUAUUCCGGGGGGCAUGCCUGUCCGAGCGUCAUUUCUGCCCUCAAGCACGGCUUGUGUGUUGGGCCCCGUCCUCCGAUCCCGGGGGACGGGCCCGAAAGGCAGCGGCGGCGCCGCGUCCGGUCCUCGAGCGUAUGGGGCUUUGUCACCCGCUCUGUAGGCCCGGCCGGCGCUUGCCGAUCAACCCAAAUUUUUAUCCAGGUUGACCUCGGAUCAGGUAGGGAUACCCGCUGAACUUAAGC